rnacentral:lncRNA from 1 species
CGAAAGUCAAGUUCGGCCGCCGAACAUUGCAUGGAUGCGGAGGCACAUUCGGCCCCCGAACGUGGCCUGGCCAGCCACCUAUAAAAGGGGCACUUAGCCGAAAUGGGCGAGCUUUCUCCCAUUUUCGGCCACAGUGAGCUUCCGACCUUCCCUUUGCAAAUCUUGUGUUCUUCCUCCAAAUCUCUUCCAUUUUUAUUGAGUUUUAAACUCACAUUGCAAGUUUUGAGCAUUUAAACCAAGUUUUGGAGCUUUGGAAACUCAGGAGCCCAUUUGCUUGGAUCUCCGAG